rnacentral:misc_RNA from 1 species
GAUGAAGAACGCAGCGAAAUGCGAUAAGUAGUGUGAAUUGCAGAAUUCAGUGAAUCAUCGAAUCUUUGAACGCACAUUGCGCCCUUUGGUAUUCCUUAGGGCAUGCCUGUUCGAGCGUCAUUUAUCAACCCUCAAGCCCGGCUUGCGGUUGGGUCCCGCCGUGGGCGACCACGGCGGACCCGAAAGGUAAUGGCGGUGCCCGUGGGGCCCUGGACGCAGCGAGCUUCUCGGCACGCGUCCCGGCGGUCCCCGGCGCCGUCUCCACCAAUCCACCACGCAGAUUGACCUCGGAUCAGGUAGGGAUACCCGCUGAACUUAAGCAUAUCAAUAAGCGGAGGA